rnacentral:misc_RNA from 1 species
GAUGAAGAACGCAGCGAAAUGCGAUACGUAAUGUGAAUUGCAAAUUCAGUGAAUCAUCGAGUCUUUGAACGCACAUUGCGCCCCCUGGUAUUCCGGGGGGCAUGCCUGUCCGAGCGUCAUUGCUGCCCUCAAGCCCGGCUUGUGUGUUGGGCCCCGUCCCCCGAUCUCCGGGGGACGGGCCCGAAAGGCAGCGGCGGCACCGCGUCCGGUCCUCGAGCGUAUGGGGCUUUGUCACCCGCUCUGUAGGCCCGGCCGGCGCUUGCCGAUCAACCCAAAUUUUUAUCCAGGUUGACCUCGGAUCAGGUAGGGAUGCCCGCUGAACUUAAGCAUAUCAAUAAGCGGAGGA